rnacentral:misc_RNA from 1 species
GAUGAAGAACGUAGCGAAAUGCGAUAAGUAAUGUGAAUUGCAGAAUUCAGUGAAUCAUCGAAUCUUUGAACGCACAUUGCGCCCUAUGGUAUUCCGUAGGGCAUGCCUGUUCGAGCGUCACUACAACCCUCAAGCUCUGCUUGGUAUUGGGCGUCGUCCCCUAAACGGACGUGCCUCAAAGACCUCGGCGGUGGCGUCUUUGCCUCAAGCGUAGUAAUAUUUUUAUCUCGCUUUGGAGUCGAAGGCGUCGCCCGCCGGACGAAACCUUUAUUUUUUCUAUCAAGGUUGACCUCGGAUCAGGUAGGGAUACCCGCUGAACUUAAGCAUAUCAAUAAGCGGAGGA